CUUUAAGUUUCCGUUCGCCGCAGUUAUAGCCAUGUUCCUGAAAGCAGCAGCAGCAAGCAGCGACUGUCUCCUCUGACUGUCAGCUGACACAACUCGCUGAGAGCUUUACUCAACUUGGAAAGAACUUGUCUCCAUGCAGUCAGAGGUCAGAACUAAAGGAUCAAUCUGGUUCCAGGACCCCUCAGUACCCCUCAUGACCCCUCGGUGUGGGGCUUGAACUCACUGCCCGCGGUGCUGCACUGCUGUCUAAAAAAAGCUUCACUUUCAUGCGAUGUCCUGAGGGAAAUGACGGCGCCGAGACGGAGGCAUGCAGCCUCUGGAAUCGGGUGUGAAAUUAACGGGACACACGUUAUUCCAGGGUGCUGCUUAACCAGUGUGAAAAACAGAUAGUGACAGCGUUAACAAAGGAGGUAAUGAGAAGAGGAAGAGCCUCCACUAAUGUUGUGUUUGUUUACACACACAACACAUAGAAGCUGCACAAUAAAUAAUUUUUAUAACAGCUUUCAAACGGCUGCAAGGCGAAGUUUCAACAGGUAUAAUUAAAACUAAUUUAGCACAUAAUUAGGUUAAUAUGCGACCUAAAAAUGUGUGCGCCUUUUUUAAAAUGCUGUAAUACUCGUAGUUGGCAGUGACUCCACUCAGUGAUUCAUGCUCUUGAACAUAACGAUCCAAACAAAGCCGACCAGUUAUACGGUGUCAUUGGAGCCGCUUUUAAAACCUGCUAAUGUCUCAUUUCCAUAACCAUCUAACUGGGAAAACAACCGUAAUUAUGGAGGCUGGUAUUAGCAUGAAGUGACACCCCUGAGCUGCCGUCAUGCAGCAGGUGGGUAAUUGGCCCUGAGCUGUACAGUGGCUGCUCUGUGGGACUGUCCUUGUCUGGUGAUGGGGACACGGGGUGCUCCGCAGGGUGGACUUAUCAGCUCGCUGCCCUCUGAGCCAGCUGCAGCGUUUCAUAAUUAACCAAGCGAGACGAGAGGGGUCAGAGAGAGACGACACGCUUUCUGUACUGUAACUAGCUCUGCUGCGGCGCCGCUCGUACAGUAAAUGUGUCCCUCCUCUCUGCUUCGCCCCGUCUGCUCCGGCUUCUCGUUUUUUCAUCAGACGUACAGUAUGCAGAUUAUUUUCAUGGUCAACAGUCUGUUAGUGAGACAGACAGAGUUUUAUUAGCGAGGAUGAAAGCGGACUCCAGAGGCCGCUCUGGUGUUAAUUGAGGUGUAAUGUGAUUUGUUUUGCCGGCCCUUCAAGCAGCCCGUCCCACUCCAUCGAGUCCGAUCCCCCGUGAUUAUUCUCUAAUGGCUCGUGUGCUUUAAACAACCUGCAACAGCGACAAUAAAACGAUAAGGUUAAUGCUGCAAAGUGAAGAAGCAUUUAAACUGUUUGUCUUUACAGCAUCACUGCAGUGUACUUAAGAGGACUGUCCUUAAGAGCAGACUGAACCUCAGAGGCAAAGCCAGGGGAGGCUGACGUGACCUAUUCACAGGAAGAUGUGCGAGCAGAGACACAACAAACAGAAAGUAUUUAUUUAUUUAUUUAGGAUGUCUAUCUAGUUAUCGCUGCAGUAUCAACUGUUCCUCCUGAGUCUGUGCAGAAGUAAACAGACAGAAAAACAAUAGAAAAGAAAUUACAAAACCAAAUAAUUCAGAAAAUUAGCAGAAAAAACUUGA